UGUGUAGGCGGUUUGGUAAGUCUGGUGUGAAAUCUCCCGGCUCAACUGGGAGGGUGCGCCGGAAACUGCCGGACUCGAGUGCGGGAGAGGAGAGUGGAAUUCCUGGUGUAGCGGUGAAAUGCGUAGAUAUCAGGAGGAACACCGGCGGUGUAGACGGCUCUCUGGACCGUAACUGACGCUGAAACACGAAAGCGUGGGUAGCAAACAGGAUUAGAUACCCUGGUAGUCCACGCCCUAAACGAUGCAUAUUUGGUGUGGGUCAUUCAGUUGAUCCGUGCCGGAGCUAACGCGUUAAAUAUGCCGCCUGGGGAGUACAGGUCGCAAGGCUGAA
rnacentral:rRNA from 1 species